rnacentral:misc_RNA from 1 species
AAGUCGUAACAAGGUUUCCGUAGGUGAACCUGCGGAAGGAUCAUUAACACGUAUCCACGUAUCAAACCCUCGUGCUCUCCGGUAGUGCUCGGUCGUGAAGGGGAAAGUGUGCUGUUGGGGUCGGGUGAGUGGUGAGACAGGUUCUUCGGGACUUGGUCUGGCACUCGCUCCUUCAGCUUGAGUUGGUCUCUCGGGUUCAACUCUGCCUUUUUCUUUUGCGGUCGGGUCGCUUUUUUUCACAACCUAAUGGUUUCUCUUACCAUUAAGCCAUUACGGUUGUAACUUUCAAUUUUUAACCCCUUUAACUAUCUUGACUGACUAUUUCAUAUAACAAGCUGGAAACGGCUUGCUUAUAAUAUACGAAAUGCUUGACAACUCUUAGCAACGGAUAUCUUGGUUCCC